AAAUGAAUAGACGGGGGCCCGCACAAGCGGAGGAACAUGUGGUUUAAUUCGAUGAUACGCGAGGAACCUUACCCGGGUUUAAAUGUAGAUUGCAUGAGGUGGAAACACUUCUUCCCUUCGGGGCUAUUUACAAGGUGCUGCAUGGUUGUCGUCAGCUCGUGCCGUGAGGUGUCGGGUUAAGUCCCAUAACGAGCGCAACCCCUAUCGCCAGUUGCCAUCGGUUCAAGCCGGGCACUCUGUCGAGACUGCCACCGUAAGGUGCGAGGAAGGCGGGGAUGACGUCAAAUCAGCACGGCCCUUACACCCGGGGCGACACACGUGUUACAAUGGCCGGUACAGAGGGCAGCCACGGGGUGACCCGGAGCGAAUCUCUAAAGCCGGUCGUAGUUCGGACUGGAGUCUGCAACCCGACUCCACGAAGUUGGAUUCGCUAGUAAUCGCGCAUCAGCCAUGGCGCGGUGAAUACGUUCCCGGGCCUUGUACACACCGCCCGU
rnacentral:rRNA from 1 species